GAUCUUGCGACAAUGGGCGAAAGCCUGACGCAGCAACGCCGCGUGCGGGAGGACGGCCUUCGGGUUGUAAACCGCGUCUCGGGGGGAUGAGGAAGGACGGUGCCCCCGGAAGAAGUCUCGGCUAACUACGUGCCAGCAGCCGCGGUACAACGUAGGAGCCGAGCGUUGUCCGGAUUGACUGGGUGUAACAGGCGUGUAGGCGGUCCUGCAAGUGGCGGGUGAAGGCGGCCGGCUCAACCGGGCGAGGACGUCGGCGAACUGCAGGGCUAGAGGCAGGUAGAGGCGUGUGGAAUUCCGGGUGUAGUGGUGAAAUGCGUAGAGAUCCGGAGGAACACCAGUGGCGCAGGCGACACGCUGGGCCUGGCCUGACGCUGAGAGGCGAAAGCAUGGGGAGCGAACGGG
rnacentral:rRNA from 1 species